rnacentral:rRNA from 1 species
UACGUAGGGUGCAAACGUUAUCCGGAUUUAUUGGGCGUAAAGAGCUCGUAGGCGGUAGUGUAAGUUGGAUAUUAAAGAUCCAGGCUCAACCUGGGGAAAGUAUCCAAGACUGCACAACUAGAGUGAUGCAGGGGAGAACGGAACUUACGGUGUAGCGGUAAUAUGCGUAGAUAUCGUAAGGAACGCCAAUGGUGAAGACAGUUCUCUGGGCAUUUUCUGACGCUGAGGAGCGAAAGCGUGGGUAGCGAUCGGG